GCUCCGCCGCCUCCUCCUCCUCCUGCUCCUCCUCCUGCUCUUGGCAGCGGCUCCCGGUACCGGAGCGGGGCGGCCCCGCGCCCGCCGCGGGCUCACCUACCCCGGCACGCUGUGGUGCGGAGCCGGCAGCAACGCGGAUGCCUACGAGCAGCUGGGGGAGCACCGGGACACAGACCAGUGCUGCCGGGACCAUGACCACUGCCAGCACGUCAUCCACCCCUUCACUGCACGCUAUGGGUACCGCAACCUGCGCUGGCACACCAUCAGCCACUGUGACUGCGACCGCAGGUUAAAGGAGUGCCUGCAGCGGGUGAAUGACACAGCCUCACGAGUGGUGGGUCAGGCCUUCUUCAAUGUCAUCCAAGUGCCUUGCUUCGAGUUCACCUACAGGGAGGAGUGUGUGGAGCCCUACCUCUAUGUCUGGUGUAAGGCGUACAACACAGUGGCCAUCGCGGUGCCCAGGGAGCCGGUGCUGUAUGAGUUUGGGGGGGAGCUCAUUGACCGGGCAGCCAGGCCCGUGGGGGUCCCUCUAUG